rfam:Equus caballus chromosome 13, whole genome shotgun sequence.
UAAAAUGACUGAUAAGAUUGCUGACCAUGGGCGCCCAGAGAGCUUCCAGAGACAACAUUCCUGCUGGCUGCUGGGUGAUAAAUUCCCAGCCCUGGCUUCUUUGCCAAGAUCCCCGUGGCUGGGCUCCGGCUCCAGAUUAAACUCCU